AAUGAACGCUGGCGGCGUGCUUAACACAUGCAAGUCGAACGAGAAAGGGAUUGCUUGCAGUCCUGAGUAGAGUGGCGCACGGGUGAGUAACACGUAGAUAAUCUGCCUUUAAGCCUGGGAUAACUAUUCGAAAGGAUAGCUAAUACCGGAUAAAGUCGAUUUACACAAGUAGAUUGAUGAAAGAUUGCCUCUUCUUGAAAGCAAUUGUUUGGGGACGAGUUUGCGUACCAUUAGCUUGUUGGUGGGGUAAAGGCCUACCAAGGCAACGAUGGUUAGCUGGUCUGAGAGGAUGAUCAGCCACACUGGAACUGGAACACGGUCCAG
rnacentral:rRNA from 1 species